rnacentral:rRNA from 1 species
UACGAAGGGGGCUAGCGUUGUUCGGAAUUACUGGGCGUAAAGCGCACGUAGGCGGAUAUUUAAGUCAGGGGUGAAAUCCCAGAGCUCAACUCUGGAACUGCCUUUGAUACUGGGUAUCUAGAGUAUGGAAGAGGUGAGUGGAAUUCCGAGUGUAGAGGUGAAAUUCGUAGAUAUUCGGAGGAACACCAGUGGCGAAGGCGGCUUACUGGUCCGGAACUGACGCUGAGGUGCGAAAGCGUGGGGAGCAAACAGG